rnacentral:lncRNA from 1 species
AUGGGAUCAACACUUACUCCCUACGUACGAAGUUACUCCUUGGCUGUGCCCCACACAGAGGAACCUGGAAGAAGACUCUGGCUGACAAAUCAGGACUUUCUCCAGACUCCUCGGGGUGAAGACCUCUUGGCUGGCACACACCUUUGGCCAAAUAAUGAAGGUAGUCAGGCUGCAUAUCGGAGCCCAGCCUCUCUGUCUGGGUCUUCCUUUGCGGGCACAUCUCCUACCCUGUCUCCCUGUAGCCCCUUCCCUUGAAUGAUUGUGGCUGUAGUUCAUCUUGGUGAGGACUAAGUUCUCUCUAGAGGGGCUUCCUCUCCCCUGGAGCCUUUUUGCCCAGGUACUUCAUCCUGGGCUUUCUUGCUCAGGGUGAAAGGCUCUGUGUCUUGAGAAGGGAAUGCUCAGCGGUAGCUGCUGAUGCUGGUGAUCCGGUGACAGCAGACUCUCCUUAGAGAGGACCUGUGAGUCCCUUGGGGACAACCAGGCUGGCUUUGGAGACAAGAUGUAGGAUCCAUCAUGGAUAAUUUUGUUUGUUUGAAGUGUAGUUGGUUUACAGUAUCAUGUUAGUUUCAGGUGUACAGCAUAGAGAUUCAGUAUUUUUGCAGGUUAUAUUCCAUUAUAUUGAUAGGUUAUUACAAGAGAAUGGGAAUAAUUCCCUGUGCUAUGCAAUAAUCCUUGUUGCUUAGCUCUUUCAUAGACAGUAGUUUAUUUCUGUCUAUGAAACCCCAUACCCCAAAUUGAUCCCUCCCUUCCCUCUCCCCUGUGGUGACCGUAAGUUUGUUUCCUAUGUCUGUGAGUCUGUUUCUGUUUUGAAUACAGAUUCAUUUGUGUUAUUUAUUAGAUUCCACAUAUGAGUGAUGUCAGAGAGUUUAUUUGUCUUUCUCUGCCUGACUUUGCUAAGCACAAUAUUCUCUAGGGUCCAUCGUUGCAGAUAGCUGGG